AAUAAAACGAAAGUUAAUUAAAUUAGGUUAGGUCAUAGACAUCCUCAUCGAACUAAUAAUAAUGGUUUUAUUAAUUCUAUGGACAUCCUAAUGUUAUUUUAUCUUAGAAGAGUUAUUGCAACGCACAAAUAAGCGAUAUUUUAUUAAAGGAUCCUGUAAUAAAGGAUCCUCUAUCGUGCACGUUAAUAAUAAAUAUUGCAAGAUGCUUUAAACGAAAGUCAGUAAAGUGACAGAUCUUUAAAUUUGACAUAUUUAUAUUUUGUCACCUUUAUUUUGUAUUCUGAUUAAACAAAUAAUUCAAUUGAUAAAAGUACAAAAUCGAAAAUGAAAGAACAAAUAGCGUUAGAAUUUUAGCUGGAACCAUUAUUGAGGAAUUGAAUUUCCAUAAUAGAUACAGUGGGUGUAGAAAAUAUAUAAAAAUCAAUUGAACAAGUCUCAAUCAUUAUCGAAGUUUAUUUUUAUAACUGCAAACUUCAUUGUGGAAUAUCAUGGACACUUCUAAGAUAAUUUGAAAGCACAUAAGUGGCUUUAUAGAAAUAAUUAUCAGCUAUAUGUACAGUCUACCAAUUCGUAAUAUGGGAGGAGCUGUACCAAACUACUGGGGUUUCAUCGAUGGAACUAUUAGAAAUAUUUGUUGACGAAGUAUCAUCACUAUAUGAAAUAUCAGUCUACUUUAUGUACCUGUUUGAAUGGAAGUCAAUCAAGUAUUUCUUUUUAUGUAAAACCACCAGUAUUGGAAGAUUAUAUUGUUCAACAGAA